GUGUUGAUGUUUAUUUGCGUUACUUCCCAAACUAUUUAUUAACGAAUAUUCUGCAAACAACUGUUUCGGCGAGUCAAUUUUUGAAGUAUAAACUAAACAAAGUUACGCGAAUUUUUCUAUAUGGAUUAUCAAACUAAUAUAGGUAGGUGCCCAUUCUGUUCCUAUCUUCAGAAGUUAUUUAUACCUAUGCAAUACCUUCGCUCAGGUUAAAGAAUGGAAUACUAGUCUUGCAUCAAAUAUAUUUUACAUAUCCAUUCGAUGUUUAUCACCAGAAGUUAGUUCUACCUUUGCAGUACCUCUGCUCUACAUACCUCCUCGCUGGUUAAAGAAUGGAAUAUAAAUCUCAUAUCAAGUUGGUGUAAAAAUUUAGUUCAAUAAAUUAAGAAAUUUGUAAACGUUAUCAAAAUUUUGAGUGGAGCAAUUGUUUUUCUGGUUUAACAUGAGUAUGAAUCUGAUAUCAACUGGAUGUACAAAGAUUGUUUACUACUUAAAGAACCUAUCUGAUUAUGAAAGAACCAACUGAUUAUUAAACAGUUUUUAAUGGGAAUAAAAACAAAUUUUCAAAAGA